rnacentral:rRNA from 1 species
AACGUAGGUGGCAAGCGUCAUCCGGAAUUACUGGGCGUAAAGGGUGUGCAGGCGGGGUUGCAAGUGGGGUAUGAAAUAUCCCAGCUUAACUGGGAGGGGUUAUGCCAGACUGCAACUCUAGAGGACGAGAGAGGGGGGUGGAAUUCCGGGUGUAGUGGUGAAAUGCGUAGAGAUCCGGAGGAACCCCAGAGGCGAAGGCGGCCCCCUGGCUCGUACCUGACGCUCAGCCACGAAAGCGUGGGGAGCAAACAGG